GACGAAUGCUGGCUGCGUGCUUAACACAUGCAAGUCGAACGGUGAACCAGGGCUUGCCCUGGGGAUCAGUGGCGAACGGGUGAGUAACACGUGGGCAACCUGCCCCUCACUCUGGGAUAACUCCGGGAAACCGGGGCUAAUACCGGAUAUGACCUGGUGCGACAUCACACCAGGUGGAAAGAAUUUCGGUGAGGGAUGGGCCCGCGGCCUAUCAGCUAGUUGGUGGGGUAACGGCCCACCAAGGCGACGACGGGUAGCCGGCCUGAGAGGGCGACCGGCCACACUGGGACUGAGACACGGCCCAGACUCCUACGGGAGGCAGCAGUGGGGAAUAUUGCGCAAUGGGCGAAAGCCUGACGCAGCGACGCAGCGUGAGGGACGACGGCCUUCGGGUUGUAAACCUCUUUCAGCGGGGACGAAGCGAAAGUGACGGUACCCGCAGAAGAAGCACCGGCUAACUACGUGCCAGCCGCCGCAGUAAUAC
rnacentral:rRNA from 1 species